AGGUUACUGCUAUCGGUGUUCGCUUAAGCCAUGCGAGUCAUAUGUUCUUCGUGAACAUGGCGUACUGUUCAGUAACACGUGGAUAACCUGCCCUUGGGUCCGGCAUAACCCCGGGAAACUGGGGAUAAUUCCGGAUAACGCAUAUAUGCUGGAAUGCUUUCUGCGUAAAUGGAUUCGUCUGCCCAAGGAUGGGUCUGCGGCCUAUCAGGUAGUAGUGGGUGUAAUGUACCUACUAGCCGACGACGGGUACGGGUUGUGAGAGCAAGAGCCCGGAGAUGGAUUCUGAGACAUGAAUCCAGGCCCUACGGGGCGCAGCAGGCGCGAAAACUUUACAAUGCGGGAAACCGUGAUAAGGGGACACCGAGUGCCAGCAUCAUAUGCUGGCUGUCCGGGUGUGUAAAAUACACCCGUUAGCAAGGGCCGGGCAAGACCGGUGCCAGCCGCCGCGGUAACACCGGCGGCCCGAGUGGUGAUCGUGAUUAUUGGGUCUAAAGGGUCCGUAGCCGGUUUGGUCAGUCCUCCGGGAAAUCUGAUAGCUCAACUAUUAGGCUUUAGGGGGAUACUGCCAGGCUUGGAACCGGGAGAGGUAAGAGGUACUACAGGGGUAGGAGUGAAAUCUUGUAAUCCCUGUGGGACCACCUGUGGCGAAGGCGUCUUACCAGAACGGGUUCGACGGUGAGGGACGAAAGCUGGGGGCACGAACUGGAUUAGAUACCCGGGUAGUCCCAGCCGUAAACGAUGCUCGCUAGGUGUCAGGCAUGGCGCGACCGUGUCUGGUGCCGCAGGGAAGCCGUGAAGCGAGCCACCUGGGAAGUACGGCCGCAAGGCUGAAACUUAA
rnacentral:rRNA from 1 species